UGUAUCUAGCCAUGCCGCGUGAGUGAUGAAGGCCUUAGGGUCGUAAAGCUCUUUCGCCUGUGAUGAUAAUGACAGUAGCAGGUAAAGAAACCCCGGCUAACUCCGUGCCAGCAGCCGCGGUAAUACGGAGGGGGUUAGCGUUGUUCGGAAUUACUGGGCGUAAAGCGCGCGUAGGCGGAUUAGAAAGUUGGGGGUGAAAUCCCGGGGCUCAACCCCGGAACUGCCUCCAAAACUGCUAGUCUAGAGUUCGAGAGAGGUGAGUGGAAUUCCGAGUGUAGAGGUGAAAUUCGUAGAUAUUCGGAGGAACACCAGUGGCGAAGGCGGCUCACUGGCUCGAUACUGACGCUGAGGUGCGAAAGUGUGGGGAGCAAACAGGAUUAGAUACCCUGGUAGUCCACACCGUAAACGAUGAAUGCCAGUCGUCGGAUAGUAUACUAUUCGGUGACACACCUAACGGAUUAAGCAUUCCGCCUGGGGAGUACGGUCGCAAGAUUAAAACU
rnacentral:rRNA from 1 species